AUUGAAGUAGCAAAAAUAAUGCGUAGGAUUUAAGCUCCUAAGACGAGACUUAGUUAUCUCCUUCAAUA
rnacentral:tRNA from 1 species